rnacentral:rRNA from 1 species
CAGAGGUGGCAAGCGUUGUUCGGAAUUACUGGGCGUAAAGGGCGCGUAGGCGGCCGCCUAAGUCAGACGUGAAAUCCCCAAGCUUAACUUGGGAACUGCGUCUGAUACUGGGUGGCUUGAGUUCGGGAGAGGAAUGUGGAAUUCCAGGUGUAGCGGUGAAAUGCGUAGAUAUCUGGAGGAACACCGGUGGCGAAGGCGGCAUUCUGGACCGAAACUGACGCUGAGGCGCGAAAGCCAGGGGAGCAAACGGGAUUAGAUACCCCGGUAGUCCUGGCCCUAAACGAUGAGUGCUUGGUGUGGUGGGUAUCGAUCCCUGCCGUGCCGAAGCUAACGCAUUAAGCACUCCGCCUGGGGAGUACGGUCGCAAGGCUG